rnacentral:rRNA from 1 species
CAGCCGUAAACGAUGCGCGUUAGGUGUAUCGACGACCACGAGUCGUCGAGGUGCCGAAGGGAAACCGUGAAACGUGCCGCCUGGGAAGUACGGUCGCAAGGCUGAAACUUAAAGGAAUUGGCGGGGGAGCACCACAACAGGUGGAGCCUGCGGUUUAAUUGGACUCAACGCCGGGAAGCUCACCGGAUAAGACAGCGGAAUGAUUGCCGGGCUGAAGACUCUGCAUGACUAGCUGAGAGGAGGUGCAUGGCGUAGACGUCU